GUUUCUGUAGUGUAGUGGUAAUCACAUUCGCCUUACACACGAAAGGUCCCUGGUUCAAAACCGGGCAGAAACA